UACGGGAGGCAGCAGUGGGGAAUAUUGCACAAUGGGCGCAAGCCUGAUGCAGCCAUGCCGCGUGUAUGAAAAAGGCCUUCGGGUUGUAAAGUACUUUCAGUCGUGAGGAAGGUGUUAAGGUUAAUAACCUUAGCAAUUGACGUUAGCGACAGAAGAAGCACCGGCUAACUCCGUGCCAGCAGCCGCGGUAAUACGGAGGGUGCGAGCGUUAAUCGGAAUUACUGGGCUAAAGGGCACGCAGGCGGUUAAUUAAGUUGGAUGUGAAAUCCCCGGGCUUAACCUGGGAAUGGCAUUCAAGACUGGUUAGCUAGAGUCUUGUAGAGGGGGUAGAAUUCCAUGUGUAGCGGUGAAAUGCGUAGAGAUGUGGAGGAAUACCGGUGGCGAAGGCGGCCCCUGGACAAAGACUGACGCUCAUGUGCGAAAGCGUGGGGAGCAAACGAGGGAUUAGAUACC
rnacentral:rRNA from 1 species